rnacentral:lncRNA from 1 species
UACAAAUUAUAAUUCCCGAAAACGUAUAUGAUUUUUAAAAUAUCUUAGGUCAAUAAAGUUUAUUUCAAGGUCAAGACUAAAAGAUUCUGAUAAAAAAAAAUAGUUUGUAAAACUUUUUAGGGUAUAUAAACGAACGUAAAUUUAUCACAUGAAAAAUAGAAAUGUAGAUGAAAGGAGAUGUGAAACAUACGUCCACGAAACAUCAAUAAAACGAAACCGAAAAAUAAGAAAAAUAAAAACACUUAGAAGACAAAUUUAUGUUUAAACCAAAACAUGCGUGUUAAACGAUGUCAAAAAAUAUAGAAACGGACUGACAUGGAAACUGUGCAGAUGAUCCGGGUUGUAAAGUAGAUUUCAAACUAUUGGAAUUGUUAUAAACCAAGC